CUGUCACUUUAAUUCAGAACUCACCCCUGAGUCUGACGCUCUUUUACUUCCUCCUGCAUCUUCCUCCUUGGCUUCUCUUGUUUCCUUUACCACCCCCUCUCUUAUGUCUUUAUCCAUUGCUUCUCCAGUGUCCCCCCUGACUCAUCCUGCUUUUGUGUCCUCUCAGUCUAGUCCUAUAUCUUCUUCCUCUGCCACCAGCCUCUAACCUUUCUACCCUUUCUAAACUAUCCACUGAGCAAGGCAGUUCAGGCCCAGUAGUUUCCUCACGGAAAAAAAGACAAAUAAAGAGGAAAGCAGACCCUAAAGAAUGCCCCAUGCAUGAGGAAUCAACCAGUUUCCCAUACAAAAAGAUACUGAGAAAAAGAAUGAGGGAGUGGAAAAAAGUGGAAGAACUCAUGGGAGCCAAAAAGAAAUAUUCAAAGUUCAUCCUGAAGAUGUGUGGGUGUCCAGAUGUGCAUAUCGGUUCUGAUCUACAGUAUGCUUGUGUUCUGAUUUGUGCUUGCUUUGUAAAGCACACAGUCUUUCUGUUUUUCAUGACUGGACUCAUAAAUGUUUUUGAAAUAUGUAACUGGCUCUGUUCCUUAAUAUAAUUUAAGAUUGUUUAUAAUUUGUCAUUUAAGAGCAAAAAUAUAUGCACUGUAACUAAGUGCAAUUACUGAUGUUACUGCUAAAAAUUUCAGAUAAAUCCAGGUUGUUAUUAUUAUUAUUAUUUAUUUUCAUUAUUCAUGACCAAAAAGCACCUAUUAGCCCACAGUCUAGAUGUGUUUUUAAAUCUCUGUGUGUAUGGGAGGACA